UGGGAACGUGCCCAAAGGUACGGAACAACUCCGGGAAACUGGAGCUAAUACCGUAUGUGCCCGAAAGGGGAAAGAUUCAUCGCCUUUGGAUCGGCCCGCGUCUGAUUAGCUAGUUGGCGGGGUAAUGGCCCACCAAGGCGACGAUCAGUAGCUGGUCUGAGAGGAUGACCAGCCACACUGGGACUGAGACACGGCCCAGGCUCCUACGGGAGGCAG
rnacentral:rRNA from 1 species